rnacentral:rRNA from 1 species
CUACGGGAGGCAGCAGUGGGGAAUAUUGGACAAUGGGCGAAAGCCUGAUCCAGCCAUGCCGCGUGUGUGAAGAAGGUCUUCGGAUUGUAAAGCACUUUAAGUUGGGAGGAAGGGUACUUACCUAAUACGUGAGUAUUUUGACGUUACCGACAGAAUAAGCACCGGCUAACUCUGUGCCAGCAGCCGCGGUAAUACAGAGGGUGCAAGCGUUAAUCGGAAUUACUGGGCGUAAAGCGCGCGUAGGUGGUUCGUUAAGUUGGAUGUGAAAUCCCCGGGCUCAACCUGGGAACUGCAUCCAAAACUGGCGAGCUAGAGUAUGGUAGAGGGUGGUGGAAUUUCCUGUGUAGCGGUGAAAUGCGUAGAUAUAGGAAGGAACACCAGUGGCGAAGGCGACCACCUGGACUGAUACUGACACUGAGGUGCGAAAGCGUGGGGAGCAAACACGGAUUAUGAUAUCCCUGGUAGUNCNCCGCCGUAAACGAUNUCAGNCUAGCCGUUGGGAG